UACUUCUUUAGUAUAAUUAGUACAAUUGACUUCCAAUCAGUUAGCUUCAGACAGAUCUGAAAAGAAGUAA
rnacentral:tRNA from 1 species